rnacentral:rRNA from 1 species
ACGGCCAUACCACAUUGAAAACACAGAUUCUCGUCCGAUCACCGAAGUUAAGCAAUGUCGGGCCUGGUGAGUACUUGGGAGGGGGAACACCGGGUGCUGUAGGCU